AUGUGUAAAGGCAGGUGUUGCAUUUCCAUGAUGAGCUGAUGUGAGGCCCCAUGGGCAAAGCAGUAUAAGGAGCGGCUCUGGAUGUCUGGACUGGGGGUCAGUUGUGCAUCCAGAAGUGGAGGGAGCAUGGACCAAUAUUCAUUGACGUGGAAUGAGUAUGUUACAUACGGUUGCAUUAAGAAAGCAAGUAACAGAAUAGUUCUAUAGAAUGCCCACUGGUUGCGGCUGUAGCUGUAACUUGUUUGAGCAUUCAUGUAUAAAGAGGUUCACCAAAACAUUGACUGUGAUUCUGGGAAUGAGAUUUGGGUGAUUUUUACUACCCUUUCUGUACUUUUUGAGAUUAUUAUAAUAAAUGUGUCACGGUAAAUAUGUUUUCCAUACAAAAUUUUACAUGGGGAAAUAAUAUUCUUAUCAAUGUAAUGGAUUGAGAAUUUCAGAGAAGAAAAGAUCUAAUAUUACUCAUGAAGCAGACCAGUU
rnacentral:lncRNA from 1 species